rnacentral:lncRNA from 1 species
CGAAGACUGAUCAUCCGACAAAUCGAGUUGUUGCAAUUUGUAGCAGUGCUUCAUCCUUAGUGUACGAAGCCUCGGGAGGCUUCCACGUUGAGGUCUCCAUUGCACCAAAUCGGUGUCUUCAAUUCGAAGUUCAAUAAGAUUCAAAAAACUCCCCGGUUUUAUUUCCCACUCUGGGCCUCGAAAGGCAUAGCAAUCUAAUGAGAGAACCUCGAGUUUUGGAAGCAGCGAACCUAUGUCAUUUAGAGACACCCAAGGAUACCCCAACCCACUCAAAGAUAACAGUACGAGACUUGAUGGGAAUAUUGAAAGAGAAAAAAUAGUAGGAAACUCACGCGUUAUCUCGGGAUUCGUGAUAUAAUAUACAAGUGCUUCCAAAUUCUGGAGUUUGAUAUAUAACUCAAAGAACUCAAUGGGUUGGUUUCAUCAUCGUCAUAAGGCUUCAACUCCACUUGAAUUCCUAAUGCUUGUAAAUUAGGAAUUCUUUUGAGAACUUCCCUAGUACAACUGUUUGCACUCACACCAAAAAUUUGGGUGAGUUUAUUCAAGGUAGCAUCAUUAGAAUUAGGGGUUGGUAAGUCCCUUCCCAGUAGCUCUAAAUGCUGAAGUUCUUGCAUGUUCCAAAUUUGCACGGGCACAAAAGACUGAACUCCACGUUUUUUAAUGUAUCAUAUGUCUACCAAUAAUCAAAAAUUGAAGGUGAAAAAGGUUGGAUAUGGAAGCAGGGAGGUCACCGUUGUAAGUUAUGGCAAGAUAUCGUAGACAAACUAGUUUGAAAAUUUCAGUUGGGAUAUGGUAAAAUCGGACAUUAAUAGCAUGUAGUACCUUGAGCAACUUGAAACCCAUGGCAUGUAUUGGCAGUGGAUAUGGGUGAUAAGGACCAUAGCAAAGGAGAGAACGGACAAUGGAUGCACAAUCACUUCUUAUCGAAUCACACACUUGUUUGAAGCAGAAUAAACUGUUCCAAUGGGCACACAAGCGGCGUUGGUCUUUUAUAACAUCGUCACAACUUUGUAAGACAUGCAGAAACUUGACCCUACUAGCUUCUUCCCUACACACGUGCUGCCAGCAAGAAUGCACACGAUACUUGCUAUACCAAUAGUCAUCAUCAUGUGAUGUGUCGAGAACAAGAUGAUACCACAUACAAAGCUUGCCCAAGCAUGUCUGCCAAAAAUAUUCAAAACUUUCUUCUCCACUAGGUUGAAGAAACAUAUCAGCACUCAACGUAGCGUUGAGCGUGGUUAGUUCAAUAUCCAUAUAUGGACAGUAAGCUCCCAUGUAGAGAAAUAACAUUUUUAAAUAUUGGGGUAAGUAAUCAUAGCUUGGGUAAAGUACCUCUGAUAUUUGAUUAUAUGCAUCUAGGAAGACUGGACUAUGUUGUUUGACGAGUACCUCAGUCCAGUAUUCUGGGGUCUUGUCGGCUUUUGAUAGGAGCUCUGCAACCGUGAUUAUCAUAAGAGGAAGACCUUCACAUUUCUUGGCAAUCUUCUCUCCGAGUUUCUCAAGUUGAGGAGGGAAACCCUCUUCACCAAAAACCUUCUCACCAAGUAGUUCCUUACUUUCUUCUCUAUUCAACAAACCUACUCUUUGGAACCCAUCCUCUGCUAUGCCUGGUAUAUCUUGUCUACUUGUAAUUAAGAAUCGAAUCCUUCCAACAAUAUUCAUUUUUGUCAAGUGAUUUGCUGCUUGUAUCUCCCAAAUAUCAUCCAACACGAUGAGACAUUUCUUAUCCUUCAAUGUUUCUUCCAAUAGUACAACUAAUACCUCCUCCUCAACUCCUUGGGUAAGCAUUUUGUACGUGUUGGGAUCCACUUGAGCUAGAACACAUCGUAAUAGUUCAUUAGAUUCACAUUUUCUGCCCACUUUGACCCAUGCUCGAAACUCAAAAUGGCUCCGAAUUGAUGGAUCUUCAAAAAUAUGCUUAGCAAGAGUUGUCUUUCCAACGCCCGCCAUCCCAAUAAUCGAAUAGUUUUUAUCUUCAAGAAGAUCAUCUCUGGCUUUUCGAAACUCAUCAGAUAAUCCAACCAUCUUUGACUUGAUUCCACCAAAAUCGAUUCUUGAGGAAAUAGGUUCACCUUCUUCUUCUGGCAUAUUCUCCAUUUCAUAAGUGUAUUCCUCCUCCAUCUUCUUCAUCUUCUCGACGAAGCAAUCAACAUGGUGUUGCAGACUCUGCAGCUCUACAGAGAAUGACAAGUUGUCCCUCUCGCUGUCGAGUUGUGGAAGAAUCUGAGGUAAGACAUGGGAUUCGAGUAAAUCUUCAAAUUCCCAAAUUGCCUCUUUGAUUCGUUCAUCCGCAGCAUUCACCUUCGUCCUGAUCUUGCUGCAGCUGGUCUCGUCCAAUUUGAGCAGAACAUUCUGCAAGCGAUCCACCUCGUCGUAGGCAGGUAGUAAGAUCUGUGGAGAGGGGGAAAUGCAAAACAAUUGUAGAAUACAGUGAAUCGUAUUCUUGAGAAAAGUCACUGCACCAUAAUCAGCUGAGGGUAGUAUUUGUGGAGAGUGGGAAACGAGAGAAAUGCGAGACGAUUGUAGAAUACGCUCAAUCGUAUUCUUCAGAGAAUCCGCCGCACCAUAAGCCGCCAUAUCCAAAUAAUCUGCUGAUCGUUGAAAUAAAAUUGCUUCCACAAACUUAGCUCAGAAAUUUUCUUCCAAAACUGUGUGGUAGAAAUCGCCUAAGAAAGAAACGGAGAAUUAUAAUAAGCAAACUGAGAUGAAACAAAUUAAUGAUAGAUGAUCUUUAGCUCUGUGCUGUACCUCUCGUGGAGGAGUUGGCACAAGUCAACGGCGGCGGCGGCGGCAGCUGGUUUUGAUACAAUCUCAGAAACAUUCAAGAAUUUUAGUAAAUGAUUUUGAUACGAUGGUAAAAUGGAUGUAUUGAUGAUUUUGAAGGCAAAUUAAGGUGUGGAAGAAUAAUUACAGGGAAGAUUAAUUAUGAAGAUUGAGCAGUUGAUCAAGCGCGUUGAAAAUUAUAACAGCGGCAAGCAAUCUAACUCAUAAAUAAUGACAAUUUGACAUUUUUACAUAAUUUAAAAUUUUGAAAUAAAUAAAUAUAUUGUGUCUAGUAGUGUACAUUAAAUAAAAAUACUGAUAAAUUUCAAACAUUAAUUUUCUACAUUGUUAGAGGUGUAACUCUGUUUAAUUUAUUUGGAUUAUCGAGUUUGACAUGAAUUUUUACUUAGAUUAGCUUAUCUUUUGAAAAGUUUGAUCAUUUAUAUUUACAUGCAAUUCAUCCAAUUUUUUACUUAUAAAUUAUAUGUCAAACAAAAUUGGAUUUUGGGUGGUUGCAUAUAUAGUCCCUAAUAAAUAAUUUUAACCUUAUAACUCCCUAUUGAAAAAUUAUACUAUUAUAAACAAAUUCUGCUUAUACUAAAUUAUUCAUGAAGCUAACAAAUUUAGGAAUUUGAAAGCUCCUUGUGUUUUGGAUUGCUGGAGUUUGCAUCGAGGUGAUUAGGCACUUUCGUUCUUUUUGGGCUUACGAUUUUUAGUUCGGCCCAUGUUUUCCUUUUUCUUUAGAAUUCUGUUUGGGCUUUGGAUCCUUUAUCGGCCCUUUUAGUUUAUUAGGUGGUGUUGUUUUUUUUUUUUUUGAGGCGGUGUUGCAUGUUGUUUCAAGGGCUUUAUGUUUUAUUUUUCGAUUAAUAUUUAAUUUAAGUAAUUAAUAUCCUUUUUUAAGGGAUUUAACUAAACCGGUAAACUUAAUUUUAAUAAGUAACAGAAUAUAAAUUUUAGCGUGAGUUCGAUUAGACAUGAGAGGUGAUGUAGGAUCAAUCUCAAUAUAUCAUUUGCAAAAGAGAUGGUAAACAAACACAAUAAACAAGCAAUCAAUCUCAGAGAAAUUGAAACAGAAAUAAGUUAAUCGUGGAUUUAAUUCAAUCUGCUCUGGUCUGAUUCUAACACCUUGUUUGAUCCUCAUAUGAAAAUCUAUCUGUAAAGCCGGUUUCUCUGUCUUUUGAGUCUAACCAACUAAUUCCAAGUUCAUUUUGAAAUAUGAAGCCAGAAAUUAACUACUAUACUAGCCAGAAUACUGAGAUUUUUAAGACUAUUAAACAAACAAAUCAACUGAUUACACACAAAUGUCAAAACAAAGUGAAAAUCAUGCAUCACAACUAAUGCUUUCACACAAAUCCAACUUACAACAAUUUCGGUAACAAACUGCAUACACAAUUCAGCAUUCAGGUUUCAUAAUCCCCAACAAAAUCCAAAUCAAGUUACAAAUCCUUAAAUUCAGACGACAAGGUGAUACAAUCUACAUUAUGGGAUAACGCAACGUCUGACCCCUUCAGCUCUCCCAUUUGCCUGAAAAGUGACAGAACUAUGACUAUAACAGAAGAUAUAUAUUUAUGACAUGAAUUGAUUUGGUUUGUAUGUGAAAAAAGAGAAGAAGUAGGGAAGAAACAUUAAGACGUGAUAUAUAUUGCAAAGUAGUGAGACUAACCUGUCAGACAAGUUGCUAAUUCACUUGAGCUCAAAAGAAGAUUCGACGAUAAGUUUGAAGGAAAACUUAUCUUUCAACUGAUUGGCACAAGCCACAGCUAAAGGAUUGCACUCCACUAAUUCAAUGGUCCUGAUCGAAGACUGAUCAUCCGGCAAAUCGAGCUGUUGCAAUUUGUAGCAGUGCUCCAUCCUUAGUGUACGAAGGUUCAAGAGGCUUCCACGUUGAGGUCUCCAUUGCACCAAAUCGGUGUCUUUAAUUACAAGUUCAAUAAGUUUCAAGAAACUCCCCGGUUUUAUUUCCCACUCUGGGCCUCGAAAGGCAUAGCAUUCUAAUCGGAGAUACUUGAGAUUUGGAAGCCGCGAACCAAUGUCAUUUAGAGACCCCCAGGGAUAUCCA